rnacentral:rRNA from 1 species
UACGGGGGGGGCAAGCGUUGUUCGGAAUUACUGGGCGUAAAGGGUUCGUAGGUGGUUAACUAAGUCAGAUGUGAAAUCCCUCAGCUUAACUGGGGAACUGCGUCUGAUACUGGUUGGCUUGAGUGCAGGAGAGGAAUGCGGAAUUCCAGGUGUAGCGGUGAAAUGCGUAGAUAUCUGGAGGAACACCGGUGGCGAAGGCGGCGUUCUGGACUGCAACUGACACUGAGGAACGAAAGCCAGGGGAGCAAACGGG